rnacentral:misc_RNA from 1 species
CGUCCAGUUGGUCGUCAGUAUCUAUUCUCAAUGAGGAGAGUGCGCAUGAGGCAAGAGGGUGAGUGCGGACCGGGUUCGUGGCGGUGAUUGUAUUAACACUUAGGGCUGGCUAAACCGUCGUCCCGCGUGUUCGCGCAUAGUAUACUGCGCGUGGUUUAUCGCGCGCCGACGAAGACGACGACGACGGUUGCAGGUUUGAGAGAAUAAAAACGGCUUCAACGAGACUCAUGACGGUUACGGGGUGUGUGUGUUAUUAAUGAAUUCAUGACUACCGGUGAUUUUGGUAGUGUGUAAUAGCGAGUAUAUUGUGGUUAAACGAAACGGAAAGACAACAAUAAUAUUGGAGUACAUAUAAAUAUAAACAGCGAUAGCAUUACUGUGAAAUAUUGUUUGUCGCCAUCACGGUUAUAUUACUAAACACGUCAUUAGUUAUUGCAAACUCUGGCGUGUUUCUCGAAAGUGCCAAGUAAUAUUGUCUUGGUGGAAAUAUCUUGAGGGAGUAGGAGCGGGCUUGCGUGACCGGGUUAGUUUAUCAAAGGAAUUGUGCGUGAUACCAGGUCGAGCGUGUGUAGCUCGUAUUUUUUUACCAGACACGCCUGGAUCAGCGCAUCGGCGCCACGACAAGAAAGUAACGCCGACGGCGACGACGACGGCAGUCAACGAAAGUGUGACCGAUUUAACAUCAUCGGCGUGGCCAUCAGUGACAACGUCUAGACAUCUUGAAGCUAUCGUACCAGUCAUCCAGCGUGAGUCUUUUGGACGUAACCUCGAAUUAUCACAUCGCAUGCUUCGCGGAGUGAAGUCGAAAUCGGAAAUACCCGAUACCAGGAGGAGCCACUCGAGGAUAAUAUGCGGUAGAACCCGUGAUUCACGACUGGCAGCUUGUGGACUUCCGACUUCUCGGAGCUCAAGGGAGUUGAAAGAAAAUAGCCUGGAUCCUUGGCUUUAGAGAAGUAAGGUAGAGUUGGCAGAGGCCAACCAGGAAAGGACGAGAAGAGAUGGCGACGAUAGACGGGCGGCCAGCCCAAUAUGGCAUCACUCUUAAGCAACUCCGAGAGCUUAUGGAACACCGAGGGCGAGAGGGUGUCAACAAAAUUAACGCUCUCGGUGGUGUACAGGAAUUAUGCAAAAAGUUGUACACUUCGCCAAGCGAUGGUCUUAGUGGAUCAUCGGCAGAUUUACAACAUAGGCGAGACACGUUUGGUUCCAACCUAAUACCUCCAAAACCACCAAAAACUUUUCUCACGUUAGUGUGGGAAGCACUACAAGAUGUUACUUUGAUCAUUCUUGAAAUAGCUGCAUUGAUUUCAUUAGGUCUUAGCUUCUAUCACCCUGCAGAUGACGAAUCUGAAGAGGUGCAAGACGUAACGAUAGAUAAAGAUGAGGCUCAGUACAAUUGGAUUGAAGGCCUUGCCAUUUUGAUCUCUGUUGUUGUGGUUGUAUUGGUCACAGCUUUUAAUGAUUAUUCGAAAGAAAGACAAUUUCGAGGCCUUCAAAACAGGAUAGAAGGAGAACACAAGUUCUCGGUCAUCAGACAGGGUGAAGUAAAACAAAUAUCUGUAGCUGAUAUCGUUGUAGGCGAUAUAUGUCAGAUAAAAUAUGGAGAUUUACUGCCUGCUGACGGUGUUUUAAUACAAAGCAACGAUCUCAAGAUUGAUGAGUCAAGUUUGACAGGUGAAUCGGAUCACGUGAAGAAAGGAGAAGCAUUUGAUCCUAUGGUGCUAUCGGGAACACAUGUGAUGGAAGGUUCUGGCAAAAUGCUGGUGACUGCUGUCGGUGUAAAUUCUCAAGCUGGUAUUAUCUUUACUCUCCUUGGAGCUGCUGUAGAUCAACAAGAGCAGGAAAUUAAGAAAAUGAAAAAAGAAGCUAAAAAGCAGCGGAAGAAGAAGUCUCUCCCAGGAGACGAAGCUGGAGAAGUAACGGGUAAUAGUCAUCCGGGAAGCGGUGGAAGCGUAAAGCACGAUGGUGCGGAAAAUCAUGCAGCCGCGUCCUCAGCUCCCAGAGAACACGAAGGAAAAAAAGAAAAAAGUGUGCUCCAAGCCAAAUUGACAAAACUCGCAAUUCAAAUUGGAUACGCUGGAUCUACAAUUGCGGUGCUCACUGUCGUCAUUUUAAUUAUCCAAUUUUGUGUGCAGACGUUUGUUAUCAAGCAAUUACAAUGGAAAAGUAAAUAUGCUGAGAAUCUUGUACGACACUUGAUCAUUGGUGUGACAGUACUUGUAGUAGCUGUCCCGGAAGGUCUUCCACUAGCCGUGACGUUGUCUCUAGCUUAUUCGGUCAAGAAAAUGAUGAAGGACAACAACUUGGUACGUCAUUUGGAUGCCUGUGAAACUAUGGGUAACGCUACGGCUAUUUGUUCUGACAAGACUGGAACGCUGACAACCAACCGGAUGACAGUAGUUCAGUCGUAUAUCUGCGAAAAAUUGAGUAAAACGAUUCCACCGUUUACGGAUAUUCCGGGUCACGUUGGAAAUCUUCUUGUUCAGGCAAUCUCAAUUAAUUGUGCAUACACGUCCAAAAUUAUACCCUCGCAGGAUCCUACCGAUCUGCCAAUGCAGAUUGGCAACAAAACCGAAUGUGCCUUACUUGGAUUUGUAGUGAACUUGGGCCAAAAUUAUCAAACAAUUCGAGAAGAUCAGCCAGAGGAAACAUUCACGCGGGUAUACACUUUUAACAGUGUCAGGAAAAGUAUGUCUACUGCUAUUCCAAGAGCAGGCGGUGGCUAUAGGCUCUUCACCAAGGGUGCUUCCGAAAUCAUCAUGAAGAAAUGUGCCUUUAUUUAUGGACGCGAUGGACAUCUGGAGAAAUUCACGAGAGAAAUGCAAGAUCGUCUGGUGAAGAAUGUAAUUGAACCCAUGGCGUGCGAUGGAUUGCGUACAAUUUCAAUUGCAUACCGUGACUUUGUUCCUGGUAAAGCAGAAAUCAAUCAGGUUCAUAUUGAAAAUGAACCAAAUUGGGAGGACGAAGAAAAUAUUGUGAAUAAUCUCACAUGUCUUUGUAUCGUUGGUAUUGAAGAUCCUGUACGGCCUGAAGUACCAGAUGCUAUAAAAAAAUGUCAAAGAGCAGGAAUUACAGUAAGAAUGGUUACUGGAGAUAACAUCAAUACAGCCCGAUCAAUUGCUUUCAAGUGUGGUAUUUGCAAACCCAAUGAAGAUUUCCUUAUUUUAGAAGGUAAAGAAUUCAACAGGCGAAUUAGGGAUAGUAAUGGAGAAAUUCAACAACAUUUACUUGAUAAAGUCUGGCCAAAGUUAAGGGUAUUGGCUAGAUCGUCACCUACAGAUAAGUAUACUCUUGUAAAAGGGAUGAUCGACAGCAAAGCCUCAGUAGCUCGUGAGGUAGUAGCUGUAACUGGUGAUGGUACGAAUGAUGGACCAGCAUUGAAAAAGGCUGAUGUAGGAUUUGCUAUGGGUAUAGCUGGUACUGAUGUUGCAAAAGAAGCUUCCGAUAUUAUUCUUACUGACGAUAAUUUUUCUUCAAUCGUCAAAGCUGUUAUGUGGGGUAGAAAUGUUUACGACAGUAUAGCCAAAUUUUUACAGUUUCAGUUAACUGUAAAUAUCGUCGCAGUUAUUGUGGCAUUCAUUGGUGCUUGUGCUGUUCAAGACUCGCCAUUGAAGGCGGUACAAAUGUUGUGGGUUAAUUUAAUUAUGGACACAUUAGCUUCCCUUGCAUUGGCUACUGAAUCGCCUACACCUGAUCUUUUACUUCGUAAACCUUAUGGUCGUACGAAACCAUUGAUCUCCAGGACUAUGAUGAAAAACAUCCUGGGUCAAGCAAUUUACCAGUUGACUGUAAUAUUUAUGCUCCUUUUUUUCGGUCACGAAAUGCUCGGUAUUCCUACUGGCAAAGGAGCCGCAGAAAAAGGUGAGGGACCGACCCAACAUUUUACAGUUAUAUUUAACACAUUUGUCAUGAUGACCCUCUUCAACGAAUUCAACGCGAGGAAAAUUCACGGUCAGCGCAAUGUCUUCCAGGGAAUAUUCACCAACCCCAUUUUCUAUUCAAUUUGGAUUGGAACUUUUCUGUCUCAAAUUGUCAUCAUUCAGUACGGUAAGAUGGCAUUCAGCACAAAAGCUCUUGAUCUAGAUCAAUGGAUGUGGUGUUUGUUCUUCGGAGUUGGUACACUAGUGUGGGGCCAAGUAGUUACAACUGUUCCUACAAGGAAGAUACCUAAGAUCCUUUCAUGGGGUCGCGGCCAGCCAGAUGAAAUCGGUGCUAUCAAUCUAGGAGACGAGAAAUUCGACCCAGACUCGGAUAAAAAGCCGCGCGCAGGACAAAUUCUAUGGAUCCGUGGUCUAACACGGCUACAGACUCAGACGAGCAAUAGAACUCUGGUGCAGAAUGUAUCUGUGACAGGCAGAUCCCCCUCUCAGGAUUACUAUAUGCCAGCGGAACCCAUUCGGGAGACCGAGGUAUAACAGGGCGGCAGUCUUGCCAGCCGCCCCCACACAAUUCCUGUCGGAGUACAAACAAAUCCGCGUAGUGAACGCAUUUCGGCAGGGCCUAGACUCGCGUUAUGGCGAGCACAGUGGCUUGACCCUUGCGGAGGUACUGCGGAAGCAAUCAUCGCUAAGUAAGCGGCACUCGCAGACGAGCAGCAUCGAUUAC